UACGUAGGGUGCAGGCGUUAAUCGGAAUUACUGGGCGUAAAGCGUGCGCAGGUGGCUCCUUAAGUCAGAUGUGAAAUCCCCGGGCUUAACCUGGGAACUGCGUUUGAAACUGAGGAGCUAGAGUGUGGAAGAGGGGGGUGGAAUUCCAGGUGUAGCAGUGAAAUGCGUAGAGAUCUGGAGGAACACCGAUGGCGAAGGCAGCCCCCUGGGCUAACACUGACGCUCAUGCACGAAAGCGUGGGGAGCAAACAGG
rnacentral:rRNA from 1 species